CCGUGACGUCACCGCGCACGGUCCUCGGCGUUCGAGGAGCUCGCUCUCUUCCCAGUCUGAUGCUUAACUGACUGAUCUACCCAGGAGCCCCUUGCAGAUGUGAUUAUUUUUAUCCAUUGACUUCAGGAAAUGAUGAUGCUAUGGUUAUGGUGGAUCCUGGGAGAUGAUGACACCAUGGUUGAAGUGGAUCCUGGGAGAUGAUGACUCCAUUGGUUCUCAUGGUUCCUGGGAGGUGAUGACAUUAUGGACGAAGUGGAUCCUGGCAGGUGAUGACAUGGUUGAAGUGGA